rnacentral:rRNA from 1 species
UCGAGGAUCUUUUGCAAUGCCCGAAAGGGUGACAAUGCGACGCCGCGUGUGCGAUGAAGGUUUUCGGAUCGUAAAGCACUGUCGACCGGGAUGAAUCUCCGGAGGAUUAAUAAUUCUUCAGGGUGACAGUACCGGUAGAGGAAGCCACGGCUAACUCCGUGCCAGCAGCCGCGGUAAUACGGAGGUGGCAAGCGUUACUCGGCUUGAUUGGGUGUAAAGGGUGUGUAGGUGGUGAAUUAAGUCGAACGUGAAAUCCCUUGGCUUAACCAAGGAACUGCGUUCGAAACUGAUUCGCUUGAGCGAUGGAGAGGAAAGGGGAAUUCCCGGUGUAACAGUGAAAUGUGUAGAUAUCGGGAGGAACACCAGUGGCGAAGGCGCCUUUCUGGACAUUUGCUGACACUGAAACACGAGAGCUAGGGGAGCAAACA